rnacentral:rRNA from 1 species
GCCUACGGGAGGCAGCAGUAGGGAAUUUUGCGCAAUGGACGGAAGUCUGACGCAGCAACGCCGCGUGAAGGAUGACUGCCUUCGGGUUGUAAACUUCUGUUGGAUGGGAAAAAAAGCCCGGGUGACCGGGAAUUGAUGGUACCAUUCGAGUAAGCACCGGCUAACUACGUGCCAGCAGCCGCGGUAAUA